GAGACCUAGUGAUAGGUAUACUUUAGGAGGGGCUUGCGCCAUAUUAGUUAGUUGGUAGGGUAAUGGCCUACCAAGACGAUGAUGUGUAGCUGGACUGAGAGGUUGAACAGCCACAUUGGGACUGAGACACGGCCCAAACUCCUACGGGAGGCAGCAGUAGGGAAUUUUCGGCAAUGGAGGAAACUCUGACCGAGCAACGCCGCGUGAACGACGAAGUACUUUGGUAUGUAAAGUUCUUUUAUCAAGGAAGAAAAGCAAGUGGUGAACCAUUUGUUUGCCGGUACUUGAUGAAUAAGCCCCGGCUAAUUAUGUGCCAGCAGCCGCGGUAAGACAUAAGGGGCAAGUGUUAUCCGGAAUUAUUGGGCGUAAAGGGUGCGUAGGCGGUCUAGUAAGUCAGUGGUGUAAUGGCAACGCUCAACGUUGUCCGGCUAUUGAAACUGCUAAACUUGAGUUAGAUAGAGGCGAGUGGAAUUCCAUGUGUAGCGGUAAAAUGCGUAAAUAUAUGGAGGAACACCAAAGGCGUAGGCGGCUCGCUGGGUCUUAACUGACGCUGAGGCACAAAAGCGUGGGGAGCAAACAGGAUUAGAUACCCGGGUAGUCCACGCCGUAAACGAUGAGUACUAAUUGUCGGGUUAACCCGGUACUGAAGUUAACACAUUAAGUACUCCGCCUGAUUAUUACGUACGCAAGUAUGAAACUUAAAGGAUUUGACGGGACUCCGCACAAGCGGGGGGACCAUGUUGUUUAAUUCGAAGAUACCCGAAAACCCUUACCUGGUCUUGCACAUGUUUUUUGCAUAACGGU
rnacentral:rRNA from 1 species